rnacentral:rRNA from 1 species
GAUGAACGCUGGCGGCGUGCCUAAUACAUGCCAGUCGAGCGAACGGACGAGAAGCUUGCUUCUCUGAUGUUAGCGGCGGACGGGUGAGUAACACGUGGAUAACCUACCUAUAAGACUGGGAUAACUUCGGGAAACCGGAGCUAAUACCGGAUACUAUUUUGAACCGCAUGGUUCAAAAGUGAAAGACGGUCUUGCUGUCACUUAUAGAUGGAUCCGCGCUGCAUUAGCUAGUUGGUAAGGUAACGGCUUACCAAGGCAACGAUGCAUAGCCGACCUGAGAGGGUGAUCGGCCACACUGGAACUGAGACACGGUCCAGACUCCUACGGGAGGCAGCAGUAGGGAAUCUUCCGCAAUGGGCGAAAGCCUGACGGAGCAACGCCGCGUGAGUGAUGAAGGUCUUCGGAUCGUAAAACUCUGUUAUUAGGGAAGAACAUAUGUGUAAGUAACUGUGCACAUCUUGACGGUACCUAAUCAGAAAGCCACGGCUAACUACGUG